AUUGAACGCUGGCGGCAUGCCUUACACAUGCAAGUCGAACGGCAGCAUGGAGAGCUUGCUCUCUGAUGGCGAGUGGCGAACGGGUGAGUAAUGCAUCGGAACGUACCGUGUAAUGGGGGGUAACGUAGCGAAAGUUACGCUAAUACCGCAUACGACCUGAGGGUGAAAGCAGGGGAUCGCAAGACCUUGCGUUAUACGAGCGGCCGAUGUCAGAUUAGCUAGUUGGUGAGGUAAAGGCUCACCAAGGGGACGAUCUGUAGCGGGUCUGAAAGGAUGAUCGGCCAGACGGGGACUGAGAAGCGGCCCAGACUCCUACGGGAGGCAGCAGUGGGGAAUUUUGGACAAUGGGGGCAACCCUGAUCCAGCCAUGCCGCGUGAGUGAAGAAGGCCUUCGGGUUGUAAAGCUCUUUCGGCCGGGAAGAAAUCGCACAGGCUAAUACUCUGUGUGGAUGACGGUACCGGCAUAAGAAGCACCGGCUAACUACGUGCCAGCAGCCGCCGCCG
rnacentral:rRNA from 1 species